CCUACGGGGGGCUGCAGUAAGGAAUAUUGGUCAAUGGACGAAAGUCUGAACCAGCCAUGCCGCGUGGAGGAUGAAGGUCCUCUGGAUUGUAAACUUCUUUUAUAUGGGACGAAAAAAGGCCUUUCUAGGCCGUCUGACGGUACCAUAUGAAUAAGCACCGGCUAACUCCGUGCCAGCAGCCGCGGUAAUACGGAGGGUGCAGGCGUUAUCCGGAUUCACGGGGUUGUAGGGGUGCUUAGGUGUGUUGGGUGAAAUCUCCGAGCUUAACUUGGAAACUGCCAUUGAUACGAUUAAUCUUGAAUAUUGUUGAGGUUAGCGGAAUAUGUCAUGUAGCGGUGAAAUGCUUAGAUAUGACAUAGAACACCAAUUGCGAAGGCAGCUGGCUACACAUAUAUUGACACUGAGGCACGAAAGCGUGGGGAUCAAACAGGAUUAGAUACCCUAGUAGUC
rnacentral:rRNA from 1 species